AAUCAUCGUCUUUUCGCCCCGCCAUAACGCUGUUUAUCGUUAUGGCGCCUUCCGGCUAGUCAUGCGCUGAGCAAUCUUUCAUAGAAGAUGGCGGAGCAAAGCAGUUACACCAGCCUUUUGAACGGAGACAAUACCACUAAACAGGAUCUAAUUAGAGAAUAUCAUUUUGCUGGCUACACGUACUCCGAUAUUAUUCUUAUUCUCUUCUACCAACAUCACGUAUCUAUAAGCUGUAGACAACUACAUCGGUACUCAGAUCACUAGGUCUUCGUCGUCAGCAUGCGGUAACGGAUGAAGUAGUUCAAGCUAUACAGGAGCAAUGUGUUGACUCUUCAGCGCGAACUGGACCCGGACGGUGUUCGUAGCAGACAGAUGCACCGAAGGGCCGAAUGACCUUAUACAUGUCGAUGGCUAUGACAAACUGAAACGAUUUGGUUUUGCCAUUCACCGUGCAAUAUGCGGGCACAGUUGAUUACAAGAUACUGGUGGGUAAUGAAGACAUCGAAGGAGUGAAAGAACUCUGUACUUCUGUUCAAGUUAAUUCUGAAGUAGUCACUGUAUUAUAACAGAAUAUGGAUGAGAACAGGCUUAGAAAGCCAUCCACAUAUAGUGAAGCUCUGGAACUGCGGAGAACUAGUUCACUACUGGUACUAAGACAAUCUACAGAUAGCCUACACAAUGGCAUAGUAGAGCAAAAUUUGAGUGUGCUUUUUUCUGUCUCACUAUCAGGUCUACGUACAGAAAGCGUAUAAAGGAUAAUAUUUACAGUAAUCAAAAUAUUUGAAGAGAAAUACUAAUAGGUUUUGAAGGCAAAAGUGAAUUUCAGUUCGAAAUUCUUAUAGUUAGCCUGAACUCAUAUGUAUACCAACAUUUCUUGUAUUUUACAUGCAACUACACUUCUUUAAGAAAAAUAUCGUAAUGUAUACAUUUGUAUAUCCAAUGUAACUUUGGUAAUUAAAGCAACAUGCAUUACCUUGCUGGGAAAAAUCUAGUUCCACUUGAUGUAUUUUGUUUACGAAAUAUAUUCCCGCAUUAACAGAUGUAUUGAUAAUUAUUGAUUUUGAUUUUUGGAAAUAUUUAUAAAACACUGAUAUCCCAUCCGUAUUUCACAUGCAAAAAAAAAGUAAUAAAAAUUUUGCAAAGUAAUUAUAACCUACCUGGCAUU